UACGUAGGGUGCGAGCGUUGUCCGGAAUUAUUGGGCGUAAAGAGCUCGUAGGCGGCCUGUUGCGUCCGCUGCGAAAUCCCGGGGCUCAACCCCGGGCUUGCAGUGGAUACGGGCUGGCUAGAGGCAGGCAGGGGAGAACGGAAUUCCCGGUGUAGCGGUGAAAUGCGCAGAUAUCGGGAGGAACACCGGUGGCGAAGGCGGUUCUCUGGGCCUUACCUGACGCUGAGGAGCGAAAGCAUGGGGAGCGAACAGG
rnacentral:rRNA from 1 species